AAAAAAACCUUCAGGCGGCCCAUGGAUAUUACUAUACUGGCAUUUGUUUUUAAAAAGCUGUCGAUAUUCAACCAGCAUGCCUUGGACUUUAUUGUGGGAAGACCCUAUUAUUUAAAAAUGGCUCAACUGAAAUAUAUGGAGAAUGUGGGGUAUGCCCAAGAGGACAGAGAACGAAUGCACAGAAAUAUUGUCAGCCUUGCACAGAAUCUCCUGAACUUUAUGAUUGGCUCUAUCUUGGAUUUAUGGCAAUGCUUCCUCUGGUUUUACAUUGGUUCUUCAUUGAAUGGUACUCGGGGAAAAAGAGUUCCAGCGCACUUUUCCAACACAUCACUGCAUUAUUUGAAUGCAGCAUGGCAGCUAUUAUCACCUUACUUGUGAGUGAUCCAGUUGGUGUUCUUUAUAUUCGUUCAUGUCGAGUAUUGAUGCUUUCUGACUGGUACACGAUGCUUUACAACCCAAGUCCAGAUUACGUUACCACAGUGCACUGUACUCAUGAAGCCGUCUACCCACUAUAUACCAUUGUAUUUAUCUAUUAUGCAUUCUGCUUGGUAUUAAUGAUGCUGCUCCGACCUCUUCUGGUGAAGAAGAUUGCAUGUGGGUUAGGGAAAUCUGAUCGAUUUAAAAGUAUUUAUGCUGCACUUUACUUCUUCCCAAUUUUAACCGUGCUUCAGGCAGUUGGUGGAGGCCUUUUAUAUUAUGCCUUCCCAUACAUUAUAUUAGUGUUAUCUUUGGUUACUCUGGCUGUGUACAUGUCCGCUUCUGAAAUAGAGAACUGCUAUGAUCUUCUGGUCAGAAAGAAAAGACUUAUUGUUCUCUUCAGCCACUGGUUACUUCAUGCCUAUGGAAUAAUCUCCAUUUCCAGAGUGGAUAAACUUGAGCAAGAUUUGCCCCUUUUGGCUUUGGUACCUACACCAGCCCUUUUUUACUUGUUCACUGCAAAAUUUACUGAACCUUCACGGAUACUCUCAGAAGGAGCCAAUGGACACUGAGUGUAGACAUGUGAAAUGCCAAAAACCUGAGAAGUGCUCCUAAUAAAAAAGUAAAUCAAUCUUAACAAUGUAUGAGAACUAUUCUGUCAUAUAUGGGAACAAGAUUGUAAGUAUAUCUUAAUGUUUGGGUUUGUCUUUGUUUUGUUUAUGGUUAGACUUACAGACUUGGAAAAUGCAAAACUCCGUAAUACUCUGUUACACA
rnacentral:sRNA from 1 species